rnacentral:rRNA from 1 species
UACGUAGGGUGCGAGCGUUGUCCGGAAUUAUUGGGCGUAAAGAGCUCGUAGGCGGUGUGUCACGUCGGCCGUGAAAACCUGCAGCUUAACUGUGGCGUGCGGUCGAUACGGGCAUCACUGGAGUUCGGCAGGGGAGACUGGAAUUCCUGGUGUAGCGGUGAAAUGCGCAGAUAUCAGGAGGAACACCGGUGGCGAAGGCGGGUCUCUGGGCCGAUACUGACGCUGAGGCACGAAAGCGUGGGGAGCAAACAGG